rnacentral:lncRNA from 1 species
AUUAAGUCAACACAAAGGUGGCUUCCUGUCGAAAUUUUCCUUGAAGUCAUCUGACUAUCUUCCAUCCCAUCGUGUUCCUUAUAAAAAAUGCAGUUGGCUCAACAGUAUUUUAUAUGUAAAUGAGAUGAAAAAUAAUUUUUAUUUCUCAUAAAGAACUGCAACACAGAAGUUUCAAUUUUUCAACUGAUCAGUCCUACUUUUUUUUUCUACCAGACUUUAUUGUUGCAGUGACUCAAACAAUAACAUCUCACUGUGAGGAAAUGUAGAUGAUGCAUAAAUAAAUUCUACCCUUUUAAGGUAAAAUCAUAUUACAGGUUGUUUUCUCUGCUUUAUCUAUCUCCAAAUAAAACACUUAGUAUAGUAAAGCUGAAUUUAGGGCAGAAGGAUAAGGGAGUUCUCAAAGGUAUGUUAAAAGAACAUAUUAAAACUUGCUAUUUGGAAAAUAUUCAAAUAUUUGGCAUAAGCAUACUUAAUAUCUAGACAACUAGAGAAAGCAGUGACAAGGGCUGUUGGAGAAUGAACACUGGAGAGCACACGGGCAUGAUGAAGAACAAGGUGUGAAAAGUUGAGUUAUCACAAGUGUGAAUCAUUUGUACUGAUUUCAAAUCCUCAACACCUUAAGAAAAGCAGGUACCCUUUCCAGAAAAUAGUCAUUUCUGUUUGCAUACGCAAUUUAAGAAUAACAGCAAAACUAAUGAAGAAAGUAUCUCAGAAGAACUAAAGAACUAUAGCUGAUACAUUCAUGGAAUAUGAAUCACUGCAAAUGCACUGAUUAAACAGAGGAGGAACACAGGUGCUACCAAAAUUGGAGGCAUGUGGGAAAUUGAACUGUUCCAGCCUAGCAGGGGCCACAGUCCACUAGCAACACUGCCAGCAUUGCCCAUUCCCAUUAGGGCAGAGAAAAAGGGGUGGCUGAGUCUGGGGAAGCCACCCAGCAUCCUUGGUGCCCAUCUCCAUUCCCUCCAGGACUUUCUCUAGCGUGGGCACUCACCUUUCUGCCACCCAGGAUCUCAAAGUGGC